rnacentral:rRNA from 1 species
UACGUAGGGGUGCAAGCGUUGCCCGGAUUUAUUGGACGUAAAGGGCGCGUAGGCGGCUCAUGAAGGCUGUGGUGAAAGUCCGGGGCUCAACCUCGGAUCGGCCGUGGCGACUCGUGGGCUGGAGCACUGUAGAGGCGGGUGGAAUUCCGGGUGUAGCGGUGGAAUGCGUAGAGAUCCGGAAGAACACCAGUGGCGAAGGCGGCCCGCUGGGCAGUGGCUGACGGCUGAGCGCGAC